UACGAAGGGUGCAAGCGUUAAUCGGAAUUACUGGGCGUAAAGCGUGCGUAGGCGGUUUCUUAAGUCUGUUGUGAAAGCCCUGGGCUCAACCUGGGAACUGCGAUGGAUACUGAGAAGCUGGAGUACGGUAGAGGAAGGUGGAAUUCCCGGUGUAGCGGUGAAAUGCGUAGAGAUCGGGAGGAACACCGGUGGCGAAGGCGGGUCUCUGGGCAAUUCCUGACGCUGAGGCGCGAAAGCGUGGGGAGCAAACAGG
rnacentral:rRNA from 1 species